rnacentral:rRNA from 1 species
GACGUAGGGCGCAAGCGUUGUCCGGAUUUAUUGGGCGUAAAGAGCUCGUAGGCGGUCAGUCGCGUCUGCUGUGAAAACUCGGGGCUUAACUCCGGGCCUGCAGUGGGUACGGGCUGACUAGAGUGCGGUAGGGGAGACUGGAAUUCCUGGUGUAGCGGUGAAAUGCGCAGAUAUCAGGAGGAACACCGAUGGCGAAGGCAGGUCUCUGGGCCACUACUGACGCUGAGAAGCGAAAGCAUGGGGAGCGAACAGG